rnacentral:rRNA from 1 species
AACGAACGCUGGCGGCGUGCUUAACACAUGCAAGUCGAACGUGAUUGAGAGCUUGCUCUCAUGAAAGUGGCGCACGGGUGAGUAACACGUGGAUAAUCUGCCUGGCGAUUCGGGAUAACACUUCGAAAGGGGUGCUAAUACCGGAUAAGCCCACAGUCUCUUCGGAGAGUGCGGGAAAAGGGGGCCUCUGUAUAUGCUCCUGUCGCUAGAUGAGUCCGCGGCCCAUUAGCUAGUUGGUAGGGUAAUGGCCUACCAAGGCGACGAUCUAUAGCUGGUCUGAGAGGACGAUCAGCCACACUGGGACUGAGACACGGCCCAGACUCCUACGGGAGGCUG